rnacentral:rRNA from 1 species
AUUGAACGCUGGCGGCAGGCCUAACACAUGCAAGUCGAACGAGUGGCGGACGGGUGAGUAAUGUCUGGGAAACUGCCUGAUGGAGGGGGAUAACUACUGGACACGGUAGCUAAUACCGCAUACCAUCGGAUGUGCCCAGAUGGGAUUAGCUAGUAGGUGGGGUAAAGGCUCACCUAGGCGACGAUCCCUAGCUGGUCUGAGAGGAUGACCAGACACACUGGGACUGAGACACGGCCCAGACGCCUACGGGAGGCAGCAGUGGGGAAUAUUGCACAAUGGGCGCAAGCCUGAUCGAGCCAUGCCGCGUGUGUGAAGAAGGCCUUCGGGUUGUAAAGCACUGUCAUUCAGGAGGCGUUAUCAAAACAAGAAGCCCCGGCUAACUCCGUGCCAGCAGCCGCGGUAAUUC